rnacentral:rRNA from 1 species
AAGUCGUAACAAGGUUUCCGUAGGUGAACCUGCGGAAGGAUCAUUAAAAGAGGGUCGUAAGACCUAUUUUUAAAACCUACCACCACCUCUCAUUGGGAUCUCUCUCCUUGGGAUGGAGGAGGUAUGGUUUUUUAAAGUCCAAUUAUUACAAAACAUAUAUCGUCUAACGACGAAAUAAAAUAAAUAUUUAAAAACUUUCAACAAUGGAUCUCUUGGCUCUCGCAUCGAUGAAGAACGCAGCGAAUUGCGAUAAGUAGUAUGAAUUGCAAAUUCUGUGAAUCAUCGAAUCUUUGAACGCAUAUCGCGCUCUCUGGUACUCCGGAGAGCAUGCCUGUUUGAGGGUAAUUAAUUAAAUCUUUGACCUUUUUUGGUCAAGGGAUAUGGGCAUUCCGUGUUUAGCGCGGUCGCCUGAAAUAUAUGGUUGGUCUCAUCAAGUUGAGAUGUGUAAUAAUAUUUAUUUCGCAAAACGCUUGAUAAGCUACCAAGUUUUGAUCUAUCUAACUCUGUUAUAUCUGGUCAAAACAAUAUAUUUUUGACAUUACCUCAAAUCAGGUAGGAAUACCCGCUGAACUUA